AGUCAAAGACUUAACAAUAGAUUAAGAUACUUCUUGAUCUCAUAUGAAGUGAGUUUCUAACCCUUGAAUCCAUUAUCUACACAAUAUAAGAUCGAAUAUGUAUAGUGUUGGGGCGUAAACAACACUAAGAGGAAUAUGGUCAAGUGUAAUAUUCUUUAGCCUAACCAUUUUCGAGCUAAGAGAUUCAAAUUGAAGCACUUGAACCUUUAUAACAUUGAUCCUCUACCAAAACCACUUUCAUUCACUUAUUAUUUGAAGUUCUUCUUAGCCCCCUUUUCAAUCUCAGCAUCUGUCCCGCAUUUGCUCUAGCUCAUUUAAUGCUUAAAAUUCAAAAUCUUAUGCAAACUAAAAUAUUGCUACACAAGCAUGUCCUCGAGACUUUGCAAUAUUAAGGCGGACGUCAUUUAACCCACAUAGCGGAUAGUGCCAAU
rnacentral:lncRNA from 1 species